UCCUACAAAGAUGUGACCUCACUGCUGGUGU
rnacentral:piRNA from 1 species